rnacentral:rRNA from 1 species
UACGUAGGAUCCUAGCGUUAUCCGGAUUUACUGGGUGUAAAGGGUGCGCAGGCGGACUUGUAAGUCAGGGGUGAAAUCUCAUCGCUUAACGGUGAAACUGCCUUUGAUACUAUAAGUCCUGAGUUUGGUAGAGAUCCGUGGAAUUCCGAGUGUAGCAGUGAAAUGUGUAGAUAUUCGGAAGAACACCAGUGGCGAAGGCAGCGGAUUGGGCCAAUACUGACGCUCAGGCACGAAAGCAUGGGGAUCAAACAGG